rnacentral:rRNA from 1 species
UACGUAGGGUGCAAGCGUUAAUCGGAAUUACUGGGCGUAAAGCGUGCGCAGGCGGUUGUGCAAGACAGAGGUGAAAUCCCCGGGCUUAACCUGGGAAUGGCCUUUGUGACUGCACGGCUAGAGUGUGUCAGAGGGGGGUAGAAUUCCACGUGUAGCAGUGAAAUGCGUAGAGAUGUGGAGGAAUACCGAUGGCGAAGGCAGCCCCCCUGGGAUAACACUGACGCUCAGGCACGAAAGCGUGGGGAGCAAACAGG